rnacentral:rRNA from 1 species
GACGAACGCUGGCGGCGUGCUUAACACAUGCAAGUCGAACGAGUGGCGAACGGGUGAGUAAUACGUGAGUAACCUGCCCUCUUUUUGGGAUAAGCCUUGGAAACGGGGUCUAAUACCGGUUAAAGGGGGAUGGGCUCGCAGCCUAUCAGUUUGUUGGGGGGUUGCUGGCCUACCCAGGCGGUGACGGGUAGCCGGCCUGAGAGGGUGAACUGGCACAGUGGGACGGACCAACGGCCCAGAGUACUAAGGGGGGCAGAAGUGUGGGCUAUUGCACAAAGGGCGAAAGCCUGAUGCAGCGAGGCCGCGUGGGGUAUGAAGGUUUUCGGGUUGUAAACCUCUUGCGCAAUCGAACGGGUAGGUGGAGAAGAAGCGCCGGCUAACUACGUGCCAGCAGCCGCGGUAAUUC